rnacentral:rRNA from 1 species
UGCGGAAGGAUCAUUAAUGAAUUUUAGGACGUUCUUUUUAGAAGUCCGACCCUUUCAUUUUCUUACACCGUGCACACACUUCUUUUUUACACACACUUUUAACACCUUAGUAUAAGAAUGUAAUAGUCUCUUAAUUGAGCAUAAAUAAAAACAAAACUUUCAGCAACGGAUCUCUUGGCUCUCGCAUCGAUGAAGAACGCAGCGAAUUGCGAUAAGUAAUGUGAAUUGCAGAAUUCAGUGAAUCAUCGAAUCUUUGAACGCACCUUGCACUCUUUGGUAUUCCGAAGAGUAUGUCUGUUUGAGUGUCAUGAAACUCUCAACCCCCCUAUUAUUGUAAUGAGAUGGGCGUGGGCUUGGAUUAUGGUUGUCUGUUGGCGUAAUUGCCGGCUCAACUGAAAUACACGAGCAACCCUACUGAAAUAAACGGUUUGACUUGGCGUAAUAAUUAUUUCGCUAAGGACGUUUUCUUCAAUUAUAAGAGGUGCUUCUAAUUCGCUUCUAAUAGCAUUUAAGCUUUAGACCUCAAAUCAGUCAGGACUACCCGCUGAACUUAAGCAUA